rnacentral:rRNA from 1 species
GACGAAUGCUGGCGGCGUGCUUAACACAUGCAAGUCGAACGGAAAGGCCCUGCUUUUGUGGGGUGCUCGAGUGGCGAACGGGUGAGUAACACGUGAGUAACCUGCCCUUGACUUUGGGAUAACUUCAGGAAACUGGGGCUAAUACCGGAUAGGAGCUCCUGCUGCAUGGUGGGGGUUGGAAAGUUUCGGCGGUUGGGGAUGGACUGGCGGCUUAUCAGCUUGUUGGUGGGGUAGUGGCUGACCAAGGCUUUGACGGGUAGCCGGCCUGAGAGGGUGACCGGCCACAUUGGGACUGAGAUACGGCCCAGACUCCUACGGGAGGCAGCAGUGGGGAAUAUUGCACAAUGGGCGGAAGCCUGAUGCAGCAACGCCGCGUGCGGGAUGACGGCCUUCGGGUUGUAAACCGCUUUCGCCUGUGACGAAGCGGGAGUGACGGUAAUGGGUAAAGAAGCACCGGCUAACUACGUG